CAGCAGUGAGGAAUAUUGGGCAAUGGACGAAAGUCUGACCCAGCAACGCCGCGUGGAGGAUGAAUGCCGUAAGGUUGUAAACUCCUUUUGAGAGGGACGAAAACGCAUAUUUCGUAAGGGAUAUGUUUUGACUGUACCUUUAGAAGAAGCCCCGGCUAACUACGUGCCAGCAGCCGCGGUAAUACGUAGGGGGCAAGCGUUGUCCGGAUUUACUGGGUGUAAAGGGCGCGUAGGCGGAUUUGUAAGUCAGAGGUGAAAGCCCGCAGCUUAACUGCGGAACUGCCUUUGAUACUGCUUAUCUUGAGUUCGGAAGAGAGAAACGGAAUUCCAGGUGUAGUAGUGAAAUACGUAGAUAUCUGGAAGAACACCAGUGGCGAAGGCGGCUUCUUGGUCCGUAACUGACGCUGAGGCGCGAAAGCGUGGGGAGCAAACAGGAUUAGAUACCCCAGUAGUCCAAGCCGAA
rnacentral:rRNA from 1 species